rfam:Trachipleistophora hominis chromosome Tnknown scaffold00286, whole genome shotgun sequence.
GUCGGUUUGGCCGAGUGGUUAAGGCGUCAGAUUAGAAAUCUGAUGGGCUCGUUCCCGCGCAGGUUCAAAUCCUGCAGCCGACG